UACGUAGGUGGCAAGCGUUGUCCGGAAUUACUGGGUGUAAAGGGAGCGUAGGCGGUUUGGUAAGUUGAGUGUGAAAUCUACCGGCUUAACUGGUAGGCUGCGCUCAAAACUACCAAACUUGAGUGAAGUAGAGGCAGGCGGAAUUCCCGGUGUAGCGGUGGAAUGCGUAGAUAUCGGGAGGAACACCAGUGGCGAAGGCGGCCUGCUGGGCUUUUACUGACGCUGAUGCUCGAAAGCAUGGGGAGCAAAC
rnacentral:rRNA from 1 species